AAGGAAACACUUUAUAUGAAGAUACCUGAGUACGUUAUGGCUGCAGCAAUACCUAAACUAAUAAAGGUGCUAAAUAUAUUGUAGGCAUCUAUUAUGCACUUAUUCCUCAUCUCUGCAUUUUUGCAAUAACCAUCACGCGUUUGUAUAUCAUCAUCAUCGUCUUCGGGUCUGUGCUCUUCAUCAUCGUGUCGGUGGCGCUUGUUCGCUCCCGAGUUCGUGACCAAAUAAACGUCGUUCUGACCGAGACGUCAUAAUAUGAAGAAUUUAUUUCAGCGUCCGAAA
rnacentral:lncRNA from 1 species